rnacentral:tRNA from 1 species
GGGGCCUUAGCUCAGCCGGGAGAGCGCCUGCUUUGCACGCAGGAGGUCGGGGGUUCGAUCCCCCCAGGCUCCACCA